GACGAAUGCUGGCGGCGUGCCUAAUACAUGCAAGUAGAACGCUGAAGGAGGAGCUUGCUUCUCCGGAUGAGUUGCGAACGGGUGAGUAACGCGUAGGUAACCUGCCUGGUAGCGGGGGAUAACUAUUGGAAACGAUAGCUAAUACCGCAUAACAGUAGAUGUUGCAUGACAUUUGCUUAAAAGGUGCAAUUGCAUCACUACCAGAUGGACCUGCGUUGUAUUAGCUAGUUGGUGAGGUAACGGCUCACCAAGGCGACGAUACAUAGCCGACCUGAGAGGGUGAUCGGCCACACUGGGACUGAGACACGGCCCAGACUCCUACGGGAGGCAGCAGUAGGGAAUCUUCGGCAAUGGACGGAAGUCUGACCGAGCAACGCCGCGUGAGUGAAGAAGGGUUUCGGAUCGUAAAGCUCUGUUGUAAGAGAAGAACGAGUGUGAGAGUGGAAAGUUCACACUGUGACGGUAUCUUACCAGAAAGGGACGGCUAACUACGUG
rnacentral:rRNA from 1 species